rnacentral:rRNA from 14 species
UCGCUCAACGGAUAAAAGGUACUCCGGGGAUAACAGGCUGAUACCGCCCAAGAGUUCAUAUCGACGGCGGUGUUUGGCACCUCGAUGUCGGCUCAUCACAUCCUGGGGCUGAAGUCGGUCCCAAGGGUAUGGCUGUUCGCCAUUUAAAGUGGUACGCGAGCUGGGUUUAGAACGUCGUGAGACAGUUCGGUCCCUAUCUACCGUGGGCGUUGGAAAUUUGAGAGGAUCUGCUCCUAGUACGAGAGGACCAGAGUGGACUUACCGCUGGUGUACCAGUUGUCUUGCCAAAGGCAUCGCUGGGUAGCUAUGUAGGGAAGGGAUAAACGCUGAAAGCAUCUAAGUGUGAAACCCACCUCAAGAUGAGAUUUCCCAUA